AGCUAGGCUUAGGUAAUCGCAAAACACACAGUUGUUUUGAGGAAAGUCCGGACACCAUUAGGAUAAAAGUGCUGGGUAACGCCCAGGUAUGACAUUUUCAAGAAUAUCAUAACGGAAAGUGGCACAGAAAAUAUACCGCCGCCGUGAAGCAAUUCUAGUGGCAAGGGUGAAAAGGUGCGGUAAGAGCGCACCGCUUGGUUAGUAAUAUCCAAGGCAGGCAAAACCCCACUUGGUGCAAGACCAAAUAGGUAUAUGUAGCAAAUCCUAUGCGCGAGUAAAAAUUUAUUUUUGCCAACAAAUACGGGUAGGUUGCUUGAGUUUGGCAGUAAUGUCAAACCUAGAUGAAUGAUUGCCAGAAGAGUGUAUUAUCAAUAAUACGCUCUUUAUACAGAAUCCGGCUUAUUAGUCCUAGCAUCCU
rnacentral:RNase_P_RNA from 1 species